GAGGGUAGAGCUCAGUGGUAGAGCAGAUGUUUAGCAUGCACGAGGUCCUGGGUUCAAUCCCUAGUCCCUUA
rnacentral:tRNA from 1 species